GGCCUAAAUUUGAAAUAGAGUGGAUUGGGAGGAUCACCUGACCCUACUAAACUACACUACUUCGAGUUUAUGCCC
rnacentral:pre_miRNA from 1 species